CGUCCAUCUGUUGACAGUUCCCAGAUUUGUAUUUCCUAGACUUCUCUCCUGAACUCCAGACACAUAUAUCUAUUGCCCACUUGACAUCCCCACUUAUACGUCUAAAACUCAUCUCAAACUUUACAUGUUCAAUGGUACAUUUCUGAUCUUCCUCCCAAAAAAUACACCACUCAUGGCUUUCUUCAUCUCAGUUGAUGGCAGCUCUGUCCAUCCUCUCAAGCCAUAAAACAUGAGUCAUCCUUUAUGACUCUUUUUCUGUUAUCCUCCAUCUCUAAUUUGACAGGAAAUUCUGUUGUUUUUACCAUCAGAAUAUAUCCAGAAUCUGCCCAUUUCCACCAUCUCUGCUUCUACCACCUGAGUCAGAGCCUCUGUCAUCUCUCAACACCAUCACCCCAAAGUCUCCUAACUGACCUCCCUGCUUCCACCUUUCCCUGCCUCACAGCCAACGAAGAUCCUUUUAAAGCCUAUAUAAUCAAAGCGUAUUAUUCACUCCUUUGUCUCUCAUUUCAUUCAGAGUAAAAGCCAAAGUUCUUACGGUGGUCUUAUCUGAUCUUCACUGAUUCCUGCUUUAGACAAAGAUACAUGUUGGUAAAUCAUAGUUCUUCUUUGCAGGCCAGGCUGUAUCCAUCCACUCUACCAACUGCCAAAAACAAAAUAUUAAAUGCAAGCCUAGCAAAAUUACAGAUCAGUAGCUUUUCUGCCUAUGGACAGAUUGGACACUCCUUAUUCAAAGCAGUGGUUGAGUAAGAUGUGACUUGGGGGUGAGCGGGUGGAGAGAGAAAUCCUGAUAUCAGCCACUUUCUUGCUAAUGAGCACAUUAUCUGUAGUUUUGGUGUAUCCUCUAGAGGUUUCUAAUAUGCAGAAUGAUCUACUUCUGAGCCUCUUUAGGCCAUUAAGUUUAGGCCAUUAAGUUCUUUGGCAUUGAUGAUGAAUUUCCUGUGGCAAGGAAAUCAUUUUUACUUUUGUCAGCUAUUCUAAAAGUCAGUAGAUUGAUGCAGUUGGUUCUGAAAAUACCUGCCAACAUUCUGAGGUCCAAGCCCUUACCUCCUGCCUUCUGGACUAAUGAUUCUCAAUCAUGGGCCACUGUGUCCCCCAGGGGACAUUUGGCAAUGUCUGGAGAUGUUUUUGGUUGUCACAGCUAAGGGUGGGAGGUGCUGCUGGCAUCAGGUGGGCCAAGGAUGUGGCCGAGCACCCACCAAUGCACAGGACAAACCCCCCAUAACAAAGGAUUAUGCAGCCCAAAAUGGCAGUAGUGCUGAGGUUGAGAAACCGCCAUCUAGACUAUUCUGGCGGACUUUUAAUCUACCUUGUGCCCCGUUGCCAAACCAGCAUUCCUAAACCAUCACGUUUAUCCAUCACUCCUAAGUUCCAGUAGCCCCCAUAGCUCUUCAUUGCCUGAAAGAUCAAGUCUCUCCUUCUCAUCCUGGCGUUUAGAUCCUGAGGUGUUUUGCACACUUAACGUAUCCAUUCCCUAGCAGGGACUCUGCUUCUCCUAAGCUUUCAUUGGCACCAUCCUUCGCACUACCAUCCUUUUACUGACGUUAACCCCCCAAACACACAACCGGUGAGGACCCUCCCCACAGCUCUCCUCUGAUCCAACUCUUACCCUCUGAAGUCCACACGUGUGGCACACCCCUUGCCACUGAGUCAGUCUAUGCCACUCCCUUCUGUACAUAUCAGGGCUCACAUGUCUACACUGUUAUACAGCUAUUCCCUCUAUCUUGUCUCCUCAGUAAACUCUUUGAAGGGGUCCAUAUUGUAUUUCUGGCCUAUCGAUCUCAGUUUCCACAGCGUAAGGUGUGAAAACCAUAUUGUCGUAUUGAGGGUUCCUUGUUGUGAGAGUCAAAUGAGCAUAGAAAGUACCUUGCAUAGGGCCCGGCACCCAGUUUAUUGCUCAGAAAAUUACGGAAUCAUAGUAUCUAUAGAAGCAUACAUGCAGGAGUCCAUAGCAAGUGCUUAAUAAAUCUUUUAAAUGUAAUUACAGACUGGAGAGAGCAUGCAUUCAGACCAGCCUGGUAUUUGGAACUAACAGCAAAGAAAAACUUCCAUCAGAAAUCCUACACCAAUUAACACUCCUUCAUGCUAGAGUGAAUCCAGGAGCAGUGGGUGUCACAUUUUCCCAAAGUGGAGCCUAAGCCAACCUUUCUGCAUUUAACAAGUUAAUGAACAGCUUGUGAGUAACACUUUGCCCACUCUGGCCCAAUUUAGAAGGCUGCCAAAAGGAUAAGAUGUCAAUAUGCCACUCUCUGCUUUGCCGCGGUGCCAGCUGCAUCCUGCCUAAGUGCUUCUGCCCUCAGCCACUGGAGAGCACGAUGUCCUUAGAGAAGGCGGCACCAGUAGGAUGAGGCUGCAGCGCGGGCCUGGCCUUUCCCCAGGCGGAAGAGAGCCUUGUCUCAGAUCCUGUGAGAGAAGUGAGUGGGGCAUGGUAUUCUGAGCAGCCCAGGUUUGGCUUUGGGCCAGGCACUGAGUGGCAAACAAGAAGGAACACAUUCCGGGAAGGCAAGGAGCCCUGCCAACGCGAAGGAGGACCAGCCAGCAGGGCCUGCUGGGCGCCAGGUGCUCCUUGGCUCUGUGGAGGAUGCCCUGAUUCUGCAGUGCAGCUUUUAGGAGAGAGGAGCAGCACAGGGUCACCACCUCACCUAGCUCGAUAGGUGUCCUAACGGCAUGGCCACCAGGUAUCAGACAGACCCCCCUGGCCUGGUCCCUGCACUGUCCCAGGCCCACCUUGGACACCUCCAUUAUACUCAUGGAGAACAGAGCCCGUGGAGUGGAGGACCCUCCUGCAUGGCCUGCAGGUGACAUGGUGAGCUCUGCCCUGUGGUGGCCCAGCACCAUCAUGCCCAGUGCCCAGCCAAGCCCGACAGGCUGCCAUUGGCCACACCCAAAAUCCAGGCAGUCAGGCAGAGAGUACAAAGCAAGCCCUCAGAUCAAAGCCACUGCCCCUUCCAUCCCCCACUUCCCACCUGGGGCACCUUGGAAAUGUUUGAGCACACCAGGGAAAGAUCCAGUACCUGGUCUGCGACCACAGUGGUCAAAAGGCCCUGCUCCACCUGUCUCACCAGGAAAUAGCAGCUGAGGACACAGAAAUGCUGGACCUCUAUUCUCCUUCACAGCCACUGCCACAGUCCCCGGCUGCAGGUAGUGUCCUCUCAGAUUCAGCCAGCCUCCUCAUGAGGGGCCAGAACAGAGCCUCUGCACAAAGUGUGAACACUCCUCUUGCUGGAAUCCUGGCCACAGGCCCUCCUCUCCUCAUUCAUAGCUUACCUCACUCCCUCCAGUCUGCCCUGCAUGGGUCCCUGGCUGACGGCAGAGAAGUCCUUUGGGCCCCAUAUCAGGGACUCUCAGGUGUCCAAGUGAGAGCACAGUAUGCUGGGAGAGAGCGAAGGCCACACUGGUGGUUUGGGUUCUGGCCUCUGUCCCACCACUGGAGUGAGCCAAGUGACAGGUAUCAAAGCGUGGCCGUUGUCCCUUGCAGCGGCCCCACGUGCUCUUCCUGUAUGUCAGAGCUGUUUCCGAGGAACAAGUUAAAAUCUUUUCAUUUAAGUGGUUGCUGAGGCUUAGUGUACAGAAUUCCUCAGCUAGAUCCAAAAAUCUGGCUUUUUGUCCGAGUCCCCAAAUUGUAGGAGCUUUGUAAACAGGUACUAAAGAUCACUCAUUAAAGGAGGGAGAAGAGUUGGGGGGAGGAGAAGGGAUCCGGAAUAUUUUCUUUCAGACUCAGUCUCAGCACAGCAGCAGCAUAAACCAAGCGGACUGUUGGUGGCACCUUAGCACCCAGAGCAUUCUUCUCGGAGGAGUGGGGACAAAGGCCAAGUGGCUGUUACCUGCACACAGGAGAGAUGACCAGGUCAGACAAAGGGCCUAGAAGGCAGACAGAUGAGUCAGUGAAGACUUUGUCCACCCAUGAGAGGGGGUCCAGGUGGGAUCUGUGUACCCUGCCCAACCUUGCUGAGGGCCAUCAAGCCAGCUCAAGGGCAAGGCCAAGACCAGCCAGGCUAACAAGCAGCCUGGCCAUAGGUUUUGGCUGCUGUCCUUAACCCUCAAUCCCAGAAGCAUGAGAAAGAGAAAAGGCAUCACCUGUGCCCAGGGACUGAGCCGCCCCAAUUCAGGGAGCAUAACUGCUGUUCUAGCCGGGAGAUGCGGAACGCCAGGUAUGAUGAAGACAUUACCAAGAAGCAGAUCCUGGAGAAAGAGGGGUAAGGAGGAAUUGAAUCUCUCUUCUAGAAACGGGGCAUUUUUACAGAAUCCCCAAAAAUAGGAGUGGGACUAAGCUAGUUCCUGCAGUUGGAAGAAUUAAAGACCCCUCUGCCUGCAGUUACGUUCUAGACCUAGGCAUCUUUUUUCCCAGAGGCCACAUGGGGGUUCUGAGACUCGUCCCCAUGGAGGUGUCCUUGAAGCCCAGCAGGAGUUCUGGAUCCUUCAGCUGAGCCCACCUUCCCUCUGACCAGCCACCUUGGUCCUACACCCCCUCUGCAAGGCCACUAAGAUUACCCCCUAAGGCGGUAGCCCUUCCCCCAGCAAGUGCUGAGGUUGACAGUCAAAACCCAGCCAGCAGAGCCAGAGGAAGGUGAUGAGGUAAGGUGAGGGAAUCCAGGGGCUGGCUCUUCAUAAAACAUCCCACCAUGCUCACUGCUCUACUUAGGCAGAAUUACAGACAAGCCUGGGCUUCCAGAAAACACCCCAAUGGCGGGCAGCAGGAAGGCCAUGGCUCUCCCUUAGUCUAUCUGAUGGGCCUCUCAGAUUUUGCCAACCCUCCUCCUCCCCAAUCCUGUGCAACUUUUUCUUUCUUCAACAGUUUCAUGUCUUGCCCCUCUCCACAGCCUUAACCCUAAAUUACAGGGUUGUAAGAAUGAAAACUGGAAAUACUUUAUCUUGCUCUAGAAGAGCCUGCUGCACGGCUGCCAGAUGCCACCCGGGAACUUGCAGUUGACUCAGAACCUUCCCCUCGCUCUGGACACUGACCUCCCCACACACCAAGGCCCCGGCUCUAAACACUCAGACACCCACCACCCUCCAUACAGCCACCUACAGCACGAGGAAGACCUUCAGGAGCCCAUGAUCCCAGAGCCUCUGCUCCCCAUUGCUCUUGGGCUCGUCCUCCAGCCUCUUCUCCUCAUAGUCAGCGUUCUCUGCAACAGGACGGCGUUAGGCAUCUUCCUGGGCAGAAGGCAGGACCCCAGCCCACUCCCCCGCCCGUGUUCUCUGGAGCCGCUUGGGCUCUUGGCUUUCCCUUAUGGAUUUGGAGAAAGAAAGAAACAGCUCUCAGAAGCCCUGCUGGCUGUGAUGACCUCUUUUUGCAGAAGUGGGAGGCGGGAAAGCCUGGUCUUUGCAAGCAGUUGCCAUGGACAAGCACGCUGAACUCACCAGACCCCGGAGGCUUCCUGGAGGGGAAGAAGUCAUCCGUGGAUGCCCGAGGGAUACAAGGGAUAUUGUCUGGGAGGGACAGGGACCUGGAGGCAGGGCACACUUUUCUCCACUUCAUCUCAGGGAUGAGGACUUCCUGCAGAGAAGGCAGGAGAAGCUGUCUCCCAUGGCCCUUGGGACCUCACUUGCCCUAAGGGGUUCACGCUAGAUUUAUCAAAGGCUUUCCAGAUAUUAUCAAUAUGGAUGCCUAGGAAGCAUGAAAGCGGGUGCCCAGAAGCGGGGAAACCACUGCCAUAGCAAUCACAUGUCUCAUCUGCUCCCUUGCUGUGAGCAGCCACUCUUCCAGGGAAUGGUGUCUUUGAAGACUGCUAGUGUAGAACCACAGUGGAAUCUAAGACAUGAGCCAUCCCAGGUGCGUGUUCAGACCGGCUGAGUCCAAGACAGCUUGGCACUGUAUAUCUUAGACGGAACAAGUUAUGACUCCUGCUAAUCUGGGCUCUAACCCUGUGUCACUAACCUUGACUUAAGGUCCCCAUCAAUAAAAAGGGGAACAUCGCCUUCCAUCCCCUGCAUGGCAUUGUGCGUAUUGUAUGCUUGGCUAAACGUUUAAUAGUUACUGAAGUAGACUUCAAACACCCUGGGGUCAUUUCCACCCCCCACCCCUGCUCUAGAAACUGCUUACCCAGGAUCCCAGGAGCAAAAGAAACAGCUGGGACCUUGGCCAAUCUAAAAGGAUCCUGCCUCAGUUCUGACUGCCUUCAGCACUCUUCCCCAGGGACAUCUGCAGCCCCUUGAAGGCCCUCCUGACUGCUAAAGAGGAUGGGGUGCUGGCUCUGUACCCGCGAAGGUAAGGAGCUGGAACCUGGAACCUGCAGAUCCCAGCGCUCCGUCCCUCUGGGCAGUGUCACCAGGCAAAGUCAAAUUCUCUUCUUCAAGAACAGAGUUACUGGGACUUCCCCGGUGAUCCAGUGGAUUCUCAGAAGUGAAAUUUGUGGAUGGAGAAUGAGCAUUUCUCAGGAUCUUCAGACCCACUUCCAAAAUGCUUUCCAGGUGCUCUACUAACGAGCAUGGCCAUCAGCACUAUAUGAGGGUGCCCGUUGCCCUACAUCCAGGCCAUACACUGGGUAUUAUCUUUUUCUCACCUUUGCAAAUUUGAUAGGCGAAAAUAUAUUGUUUUCAUUUCUAUUUCUGCUUAUUGACAGGUUGAACAUUUUUGCCAAAUACAUAUUAACCACUGGGAUUUCAUCUGUGAAUUGUCU